rnacentral:rRNA from 1 species
GAUGAACGCUGGCGGCGUGCCUAAUACAUGCAAGUCGAGCGAACAGACGAGGAGCUUGCUCCUCUGACGUUAGCGGCGGACGGGUGAGUAACACGUGGAUAGCCUACCUAUAAGACUGGGAUAACUUCGGGAAACCGGAGCUAAUACCGGAUAAUAUAUUGAACCGCAUGGUUCAAUAGUGAAAGACGGUUUUGCUGUCACUUAUAGAUGGAUCCGCGCCGCAUUAGCUAGUUGGUAAGGUAACGGCUUACCAAGGCGACGAUGCGUAGCCGACCUGAGAGGGUGAUCGGCCACACUGGAACUGAGACACGGUCCAGACUCCUACGGGAGGCAGCAGUAGGGAAUCUUCCGCAAUGGGCGAAAGCCUGACGGAGCAACGCCGCGUGAGUGAUGAAGGUCUUCGGAUCGUAAAACUCUGUUAUUAGGGAAGAACAAAUGUGUAAGUAACUAUGCACGUCUUGACGGUACCUAAUCAGAAAGCCACGGCUAACUACG